CUGGCACGGUGAUGACGGUGACAAGCACAGCUACACCAAGCAGUCCCAGGAGAACCUUCCACGGUGUCUACAAGCAGGUAAACUACAACUGACCCCAAGGGAAGCUGAAACAUGUUCCAUGCUUGCUGAAGAGCUACCACGCCCGGCAGCGUACAGAUCUCAAGAUGAGUCAGGCGUGUCCCCAUUAUCGAAGGGUUUCCAAACCCACUCACAAUUGUAAUUUACCCAAGGUAAGACUGUCUUCUACUGAGGAAAUUGUGUCACAGAGAGACAGCCGCUCUCCCCUGCAUUCUGCAGAUGGCACCUGGACCCAGAGGGCUUGAUCUAGAGCACACAGAAUUAUUUGCUAUACAUUUUUGCAUCCAGUAACCUAAAAGGGCCCUGCAAGCAGUAUUGUGAGGUUUGAAGAGGCAGAGACGUAAAAUCUUCUGCAGGACUGUGGCUGGCUCGGUGGAUACCUGUGGAGUCUUCCUUUGUAUUACCAUUGUUCCUUUCAUUUUUGAGGUCUUGCCAUUGCUUCAAGAAUAAAGAAACAUCAAGAUCCA